ensembl:lncRNA
CAUACGUUGGCCCUACGUUGGCAAAACGUUGUGAGCCAACGCCGCAUAUCGUUGGCCUGACGGUGUGAGCCAACGCUGGCCCUACGACAUUUUGGCCGCUGGCCUAACGUUGGCACAUCGUUGGCAUAGCGACGUAACCGCGUCAUUUCGGCCGUAGGGCCACCGUUUGACCAACGUGCAUUAUCCCCAGAUGGCCACCGUUGGCUUAUAGCCAAUUGCCAACUUAUAAUUAAGGCGGAAGGCGGGUCACUCCAGGCUGCUGCAGUCGUCGUCACUGUCGCUGCUAGUUGUAUCAUGAUCCAGGAUGACCGGGGAAGGACUCGGAGGAGGAAGACUGAACUGCUGGGGACCUGGAAUGUAGAAGAUCAUCGUUAAGCGUACAAUUUGGUGACAUGGGUUAAGCUCCAUGAAACUGUAAAAGGUUCAGCACAUCCCUCUUGCCCCUCAAACGCUUCAAGAGAAAGAGCAAUUGAAUUUCAGCACGAAGUGGUUGGUGAGGAUGUGGCGAAGGAUUCUUCGAACCGCGUCGCCAGGAUUGCAGCCCCCAAGCGCACUAAGGUGUGCUGCCUGCAGAAGAUCCUCCACCCUUUGAAGGUCUUCCUCGCAGUUCAUUGGGAACUUAAAUUCCUCAGAUAGAGUGUCUGCUGCUGCUGCUGCUGCUGUCGUUUUUUGCCUAGUAAGGGCCUGGAGGAGGAGGUUGUUCUGCCUCACCAAGGCCUUCAACUCCUCCACAGCACGCAGGAGUGCAUGAUCCCGUUCUACAGGACAGAAAAACAUCAUGACUGUCAUGUCAAGAGGUGCUCCUGGUUUGGGCUUUUUUCUGGUUCAUACGCGCUGCAUCAUAAUUGGCUGUUGAAGACAACAAUGAAGUGAGUAAAGCUUUUAAAGCCUAAGGGGAGAAAAGUGGUACAUCCUACUUUUGUCUGUCUCACCAAAGGUUUUCACCACCUCCACAAAAAACUCCCCAGUUCUCAUCUGGCAUAGCGCUUUGGAUGACUGCAAUUUUCGUCCGCUUGGUGUCUUUAUACGGUGGCCAAAAAGACACCUUGCCGUCCAAACUUAGCCACGAGCAAGGCACAACCUCCACCUCAUUUGACUCGGUAAAAUGAACUACCGCAUACAUCUAAACAGAAAAUACGUUUUGAAAAAGUUUAACACAUUGAAUUUAGAUAACCGAUUUAAUUGAUUGAAAUAUGAAUCAUUUUUAAAUUAAUUUAGUUGUGGUUGAGUGGAACUGCCACAACUUUGUUCUUGUAUUCUAACGUGACCAUCUUAAAGUCAAUAUCUUUAACGGCAAUUGACGUGGUCUCUUCUGCCAGGUUCCCAACCACAGCUGUCCCCAGUGCAGUUGAAUCAACAGGGUGGUUGAAAAAUGGACGUUGGUCUAAAUAUUGCCUCGCCACAAAAGACAUACCACCAAGUGUCCUGCUAAUUGCCUCUAUUUUAAAAGUGGCACCACCACACGAAACUGUGUUGUUCCCAUCCUUUGUGGACAGGGUAAAUCUAUCAGUGGCGUACUGUGUUGUUGAGGGUGAACUUUGGUUAUGGGAAGAUGGACAGACUGGGUUGAUGCUUGAUUUUUCCGUUAAUCGUUUAACAAUUUGUUGUAAUGUCUGGUUUGGCUUUCUAAUUAGUUUCUUUAAUUUAUACAAGAAAUUUUCGAAGGGAAAGGCAGAAAUUUGGGGUAGUGGGCCAUAUUUUCUAACAUCACUUGCCAGGUGGAUCAAGCUGUGGACGUUAUACACCAGAAAGUCCCCAUAGAUGGCGUGAAAAUUCUGAACGAACACUACCAGGAGAUUUUCCGUAUAGUCACAAUAACGGUGGUGGAGACGGGGGGAACAUAAAAUUGUUAUUGCUACGUGGAGUAAAAGAAAAUGUUGAUACAUGUGUUUUGGUAGGUUUUUUUUUUAAUGCAAUGGGGCCAGUGUAUAGUAAAAAAGUCCUAAAUUCAGUGGCCUUCCACCGAUCAACCUCACGGAGGGACCUUCCCUUGCGUCCAAACUCCUUUGGCAGCCUCUUGCCCAAUUUGAUUAAGUUCUCUGAAAUAAUGCAGAUGGAUUGACUCCCAAUGCGGGUUGGAAGGGGCCCUCUCUGCCACAGCCAGAUCAACUUUCUCAUCACUCCUAGGCACACCAGGUGCAUAAAGUCCAGCACAAAUUGGGUCACCAAGCCUACAUCUAGGUGUUGUAAUGGACUGUCGCCCUCUUUGUGAUGUUCCUGGUUGACUUUUGUGGCAAAACUGUCAUCGGUUCUGAGAACCGCAUCUGUUUCGGAGUAAUUUAGGCGUCGGUUUGCCCAUGAGCCCUCUUGCAUGCACCUUUCGCAGCCGUAAUAGGAAUUGUGUGCUUUUAUGUUUUUUAGAAAUGCCCUUGCCGGUGCAUCACAGACAAAACAGGAAAUUUCGAUUUUUUUUUUUUGACUGAUACUCCAAGCCAUCAGAUGCAAGCUUCCCCAUCUCUGCCACAAAGUCAGAGAGGUACUCGCUUGCAUCGGUUGGCUUGGAGUAUCCGCAAUAUAAACCAAUUAGAAAUGGGGAUCUAAUGGGGUCCUCUUCAAUUAGUGCAAGAAUUGGCCAAAAUUGCUGGCUGCUGCUUUUAAAAAGGGCCAGGCCAUCCACAUUUAUUUGUAGUUUUAGUGUUUGGUUUUUAGCUAAGUCCUGUUCUUGCAUUCGGCCCAAGAUCCCUUUUGCCACACCAAAAUAGUGCAUGUUCCCCCCAGCUUUUGGUACUAUCUCCGCAUAAGUAGGGGUUGACAGGAGAGUGCGGCCGUCUUUUGGCAGUUUGGAAUCUGGGAAGUGCUUGCGAAGCACGGAGAGCAGGCUGGAAAUGUGGGAAAUUGGUGUAUUUGUUGUGAUUGCCCAUUCCUUGAGCUCAUGUCUUAAGUCCCUUUGAAAACUGCCCCCCUCCUCUGAAUCUGAGCCACUGCUAGAGCUCGACAAAUCAUUGAACUCCCAGUCAUCCUCGCCAGAGGAGGCGCUCUCCUCUGAUGCCAUUACCCAAUCCCCAUCUCCGCUUUAAAUGAUCGUUUUCUAUUUCUGUGUAAGCUGGGACACUUGGUGGUGUGUCUAAUGUGUCUGCGCCAGCGGCCAGGUUAAAGUAAGUGGGCCCGCUAGCAUGAAGCGCUGCCAACGCAGCAUCCGCUCCUCUUUUAACAUGCCUUCGCAGCGACCUCUUUGAUAAAAUUAUUUUACUCUCUGCCAUUUUUUGUAAUUUUGCUGUCGUAAGAGGUAGGCUAUAAUUGAAUUAUUUUGUAGCGGCUAGACGGUAACCCGGCUGGCGGCUAGCUAGCUGGCUAGCUACAGUUGUUGGCGAAUUUGUUGACAACAUUACGACUAGAUUCGCCAACAUUACGACUAGCGCUAGCAAUUUAGCCGGUACUUUGUCAAACGGGUGGGGUUUGCCUUACCUUGGCUAAGUGAACCGGUUUACUUGUUUCUUUGUUUUGGUAUUGUUUGACGGGUUUACUGGACGAUGUGAAGUUGUCGGCAUCAAAUGUGGUUGUUGGCAGGCAACUGACGGUUAUUUUUCGUUGUUAUAUGGACGCGAGCUUUGUUGACGGUUAUUUUUUGAUGUUAUAUGGUCGCGAGCUUAUUGCUGUUAUUGUUGCAUAUCAUAUCAGUUUGGAACGACGCUGAAGUUGGCAUCCGAUUCGCAGCAUCCGAUUCAGCAGCUGGUCCACUUUAAAUCGGUCCUGAUUGAAAACCACUACACCUAGACUCUUCAAAUCUGGACUAAAUUAUCAUAGUGAGGCUAUACAUUAUAAUAAACAUAGUUACAGAUUUGUGAAACCUUUUUUCUAUUUGUGAAAAUGCAAUACAGGCUCAUUUUAAUGCUUUUUAGGGGUCCAGACUGCAUUAGAACGGGUCCUGAUUGAAAACCACUACACCUAGACUCUUCAAAUCUGGACUCAAUUAUCACAGUGAGGAUAUACAUUAUGUAAAACAUAGUUUCAGAUUUGUGAAACCUUUAACCUAUUUGUGAAAAUGCAAUGUGGUCUGGACCCCUAAAAAGCAUUCAAAUAAGCCUGUAUUGCAUUUUCACAAAUAGGGUAAAGGUUUCACAAAUCUGAAACUAUGUUUUACAUAAUGUAUAGCCUCACUGUGAUAAUGUAGUCCAGAUUUGAAGAGUCUAGGUGUAGUGGUUUUCAAUCAGGACCGAUUUGAAGAUUCUAAGUGGUUUUCAAGCCGAAUCGGAUGCUGUGAAUCGGAUGCCAACUUCAGCGUCGUCAGUUUGGACCCGUUUCUCAAAAAAGAAAACAUGCUACAUCAGGGGUCCUGUACUGAUGAAGCAAUAUUGUAAGCAAAGCAAUAAAGUAGUGUUAUCAGGGUAGCACCAGUGCUAUCUUGUACUCAUUUCCCUAAUAUGUGGUUUAUCCCCCCCUGGUUUAUCUGUCCCUACUCCCCCAAUCCCUUAACCUCCCCAUCUACCAAUACUUUUCAGUUCCCAUCUCUCAGACUUACCUGAUCCUCCAUCCAAACUCUGAUGUUGGAAUCCAUGCUGUCCAGUCCAUGUGAAGAGCACAGGAAGGCUUG